rnacentral:rRNA from 2 species
UGGGUAGCGAACAGGAUUAGAUCCCUGGUAGUUCAUCCCGUAAACGAUGAGUGUUAAGUGUGGAGGGUUUCCGCCCUUCAGUGCUGCAGCUAACGCAUUAAGCACUCCGCCUGGGGAGUACGACCGCAAGGUUGAAACUCAAAGGAAUUGACGGGGGCCCGCACAAGCGGUGGAGCAUGUGGUUUAAUUCGAAGCUACGCGAAGAACCUUACCAGGUCUUGACAUCUUCUGCCAAUCUAAGAGAUUAGACGUUCCCUUCGGGGACAGAAUGACAGGUGGUGCAUGGUUGUCGUCAGCUCGUGUCGUGAGAUGUUGGGUUAAGUCCCGCAACGAGCGCAACCCUUAUUAUCAGUUGCCAGCAUUCAGUUGGGUACUCUGGUGAGACUGCCGGUGACAAACCGGAGGAAGGUGGGGAUGACGUCAAAUCAUCAUGCCCCUUAUGACCUGGGCUACACACGUGCUACAAUGGACGGUACAACGAGUCGCAAAGUCGCGAGGCUAAGCUAAUCUCUUAAAGCCGUUCUCAGUUCGGAUUGUAGGCUGCAACUCGCCUACAUGAAGUUGGAAUCGCUAGUAAUCGCGGAUCAGCAUGCCGCGGUGAAUACGUUCCCGGGCCUUGUACACACCGCCCGUCACACCAUGAGAGUUUGUAACACCCAAAGCCGGUGAGAUAACCUUCGGGAGUCAGCCGUCUA